GUAAAAGCAGGUGUGCUGGGCGCCCUGUCAGCUAACGACACUGAUAAGCCUGCCAUGCCUGGUUCUGCUUCAUUUCAAACAGUCUGCUGGAAAAAAAGGAGGGGAAAACCGGAGCAGAAAUAAUUGCUGGAGCUUCCAGUGAGCUGAGAGAGCCUGCAGGCAGAGAUCAACGGGCCUGAUUUCAUCCUCUUCCUUUUAUUUCUAUAACCUUAAACGUUCUGCUAUUAUAAAAGUCAUCAUGUCAGCUUUCUCUCCAGCCUCUCCAGCUGCCCAUUUUCAAAUUGUAUCAAUUGACGCAGGAGGGGGAGGCACGAGGGAGGCUGACAGGAAGUGAGGAUUCGAAACUUCAAAUACAAACAUUAUGAAAAACAAGCAACAUCUGCAAACAACACUCUUGCUCAGGCACUUCCUGGACAGUUGGAUAUAACUGAGCAAUCUCCGUGCAACGGGAAACCAGAAAAGCCCAACUUUCAGCAGGCUUAAUAUUUGGAUAAUCCUGCAUAAUGAUUUCAGGGUUAAGUCACAGAAUGCUCUAUCAGCUUCUCUAUGCAUACUAGGUGCCCAGACUGCUGGGUGACCUGCUUUGGGGGAGAAAAAGCGAGGGUGGGGGGAAGAUCCCUCUGUGUAAACAAACAAUUUUUUGCUGCCUUGGCAAAAUGUAAACAGAACCCACGCACCUUGCCCUGGGGAUCAGCCUGGCAAGAUCUAGUUUGACAGAACUUGCUGCACAGCGUCUCCUCGACGUCCUGGAAAUUCUAGAGGGAAAAAUAACGCACGAGUUGCUGCUGUCUGUGCCUUGUGGAAUCUUAAGUAGAAUGAAACAGGCCCCCGACAAUCAAUAUUACUGACAAAUAAAUUAAUCUCGGCAAAUAAACUGUUGUUAGCUUCAAGGCUGUCCCAGUACCCAGAAUAAUUGCUUAAAUGAAGCUGAGGCCUUUUCACCAGUUUGC
rnacentral:lncRNA from 1 species